rnacentral:rRNA from 1 species
AUUGAACGCUGGCGGCAUGCCUUACACAUGCAAGUCGAACGGUAACGCGGGGCAACCUGGCGACGAGUGGCGAACGGGUGAGUAAUGCAUCGGAACGUGCCCAGUAGUGGGGGAUAGCCCGGCGAAAGCCGGAUUAAUACCGCAUACGACCUACGGGCGAAAGGGGGGGGUCGCAAGACCUCUCGCUAUUGGAGCGGCCGAGGUCAGAUUAGCUAGUUGGUCGGGUAAAAGCCUACCAAGGCGACGAUCUGUAGCUGGUCUGAGAGGACGACCAGCCACACUGGGACUGAGACACGGCCCAGCCUCCUACGGGAGGCGGCAGUGGGGAAUUUUGGACAAUGGGCGAAAGCCUGAUCCAGCCAUGCCGCGUGCGGGAAGAAGACCUUCGGGUUGUAAACCGCUUUUGUCAGGGAAGAAAUCUUCUGAGUUAAUACCUCGGGAGGAUGACGGUACCUGAAGAAUAAGCACCGGCUAACUACGUGCCAGCCGCCGCGGUAA